UGUAUACUCCCUCCGUCCCAAAUUUCUUGUCUUAUGUUUGUCUAGAAAUGGAUGUAUCUAAAUACCAAAACAUGACUAGAUACAUUCAUAUUUAGACAAAUCUAAGACAANNNNUUUGGGACGGAGGGAGUAUAUG
rnacentral:pre_miRNA from 1 species